CCCUUAGAUGUUCUGGGCCGCACGCGCGCUACACUGACGAAGUCAGCGAGCAUGUCCUACGCCGACAGGUGCGGGGAAUCUUGUCAAACUUCGUCGUGAUGGGGAUUGAUUAUUGAAAUUCUUGAUCAUCAACGAGGAAUUCCUAGUAAGCGCAAGUCAGCAGCUUGCGUUGAUUACGUCCCUGCCCUUUGUACACACCGCCCGUCGCUACUACCGAUUGAAUGGUUUAGUGAGAUCUUCGGAUUGGCGCCACUGCGGCUCAGCAAUGGGCUCGGUGGAUGCCGAAAAGUUGAUCAAACUGGAUCAUUUAGAGGAAGUAAAAGUCGUAACA
rnacentral:rRNA from 1 species